AGCCUCAAACUUAUUUGGAGCCCACCAGGCCAGCAUAAACACUGCUUCUCUGAAUAUCCAACCUGAACGCAAGACUAUGACAUAGGGUGAGAUCUGUGGAGACCUGGAAGUCGAUGCUUCUCUGUUGCCAGAGGGGGUUAUUUUCAAGGAUCUGAGUAACAACAGGCAAGGCUACAUCAUGCUAAAGCCAGGUGGUGUCAGGUGCCUUCACAACCUGAGACCCAUUAUGGAGCAUCACAUUUAUUUAGGAUCACACUAGCAGUUUUGGACACAGAGUCAUACUGGGAACUUAUGUUCAGCUGAUGAUCCACCACCAUCCCAGACUCUUCAGUCACUAUGUCCCAGAAUGGGGUCUCCCGUCUGAUUAAUUUUAGCUGUUCCCAUGUAAAUGUUGUACACAUGAAAGAUGUCCAGACAAAGGUGAAGACAAAAAUCCUGUAUGCAGAACAGGUGCAUCAGCUACAGCAGUAGACCAACACAAUCAGUACAUCUCACCUCUCAUCCAAAGAAAACAUUCCCUGGACAGAGUAUAAAACAGUAUUUGUGCCCCUUUCAUCCUUGCCUUCUACAUUGAAGCUUCCAGCAACAUUGCCUGUUGUUGUCUGAUGAACUGAGCUGAUGAGAUGUUGGGGAUGCGAGUACCCAUCUGCUGGAAACUGUGCUGAAAAUUAAAUCCAUUUUAUAGCCAAACAUAACAGUUGAGGCCUUUUACUGUGUUAAUCAUUCUAAAGCAAAGUCAGAUAGAAGAAUAUUUAAAAAGAUGCUUUACUUUGUUCACAUUCUUGGACUGAAUGUCAGAAUUCCAGUGUGAGUGACUGUCCAGACAAAGAAAGUGUACUUUCUUAUCACCUGGUCACUGUGCUGUCAAUAUUAGCAUUAUCUAGGCAAACACUCUGCAAGAGAAGCAACUCACCAAGAAUUGGAAAUAAUUAUGUUGAACUUUGCAU